UGUGAGCUGGGCCUGGGAACCCUGUGGGAUAUACACAGCUCAGGCUGGAGCUGGCCCUUCCUGAGACCCUGCUUCACCCCAAUCCACUGUUCUUUCUCCACCAGGAGGGGACCUAUUCCAUCAUGAGUACAACUUUGCAGCCCCACCCAGACCCACCUGAGACCUUGCAGGAGGAACUCAGCCAUACUCUCACCCCAGACCAAAAUGUAAAUGACUUCUGAAAAGGAACUCUGCUGACUUUGGAUCCUGUUCCUACUGUGAUGCCCUGCCACCACAAAGGAGAUAUGAAGUUUCUAGGGAGCCAGUGCAGAUCCGCUGCAGAUCCUCUGCAGACAAUACAGAUGGAAGGUGGCAUCAAAUCUAAGGAAGAUACCAAGCACUUGGAUGGGACAGCUGACCACAUGCAAGGGUCAUGUUCCUAUCUGUGCAGCUUAUACACAGAUGGACAGAAGUCAGGCAUAGGACUCCUCCCCAGCUGUGGAUAAGGGAUUGCUAUACAGCAUCUGUAUGUGUCAGAACACAUUUCACUUCAGUGUCUCCUCAAAAUACAACAGGCUUCAAAGCAUAGCCUCUUUUUUCCUGACCAGCUGAGAGAUUGUGUGGACUGAGAGCCCAGAGGUCAUCUGGGUCUCUGUGAAGCCAUGAGAAGAUCACUGAGUGACAAGGGCCAAUAUAUGCAUACCAGGGCUUUGGAGGCCCAUUCCUAUAUGGGAAGAACAAGGCUACUAGAUUAUUCAUGGUGCCUAGAAAGUAGGACAUGAAAUAGAAAAAGCUCUGUUAAUGAACAUAGAACAAAAACCUCAAGCCCAUGCAGGCUGCUUACCUAGGACAGAGAGAAGAGCCACCAAGGUCCAUGCAGUGGUGAGGAAGGGAGCCCUCACAGAGAGCCACUGUAGACUGACCACUGAGUACCCACUGCUGUUCCAAGGAUGGAAAAGCUCUGGACUCAGGCCUGGGCCAGAAAGUGCCUGGGGGUAAGCACUACCCACCAGACAGGCCAGCAGAACAAGGGUACGUAGACUGUCCGACUUCCAUGUCCACAUGCUGGGGACUGCGCUCCACAAUGCUCAGCUUCUCAACAGGCAAUCCUGAUCUGAAAAGGCACAUACCCAGCUGCUCUAUAGCUAUCAGAGGGACCCUCCCCUUUACUGACCACAGGCCCAGCCUUGUUCUAGGCAGCUCACGUCUUCUGCCAUCUCAAGACAUCUCCCUACAAAGCAGCAGGCCACUUCCUCCAGGCAGGAGUUCAAAGCCUUUGCCCACUUCCCUGUCCUGGGAGAUAAAAGGCUACCUGUCCACAGAGAUUAGUUACUGCUGUCACAUAAAAUAACAGUGGAUGAAGAAGCAGGGUUUAAUUGGCUCUUUAUCGAGGGUUUUGGCCCCUGAUAGGAGCACCACAUGAGACAAGAGAAACUUCAGACAACACCCAAUUCAAGUCAGCAGCCUAUGGUGGCUGUAGCAAAGGUGUCCACAGAGCCCGAACUCCUCAGGUUUCUGAGACACCCCCCAGAGCAUUUGCUCUUUCCAGGCUCUUUUACUCCCCAUCCUGUUUGGGAGCCCUUAAUUCAACUGGUUCUUGGUGCCACUGACUCUCCAACUUACUUAUGGUCAGGUAGCCUUACUGUAGUGUAAGAUCUCUGCCCACGUGGUUCCUAGAGGUCUACUCUGCACAGUCGAGCCAGAGCAUACCAGGAGAGGGGACAGAAACAGCACAUGGCCUGCUGUGUGGCCCAUGAAAAAUGGAAGUAUGGUCAUCUAGAGAGCCUGAUGAGAUGGGACCUGUGCUAAGGACAGCUGGUAUCUUAAUGUCAGAGAAGUCCAAUUCACAAGAGAGACGGUGAUGUUAAACUGACUCAUACUGAAAUUGGAGAAAACCAUGUUAUACACAAAAUGAAUCAGGGUAUGUGGAAAUAAA